rnacentral:rRNA from 1 species
CAAUAGCGUAUAUUAAAGUUGUUGCAGUUAAAAAGCUCGUAGUUGGAUUUCUGGUGGGAGCGAUCGGUCUGGCGCUUAGCGCGAGUACUUGCAUCGUCUCCGGCCAUCCUUGGGGAGAGUCUGUCUGGCAUUAAGUUGUCGGGCAGAGGAUCCUCAUCGUUUACUGUGAAAAAAUUAGAGUGUUCAAAGCAGGCUUAUGCCGUUGAAUAUAUUAGCAUGGAAUAAUAAGAUAGGACUUUGGUACUAUUUUGUUGGUUUGCGCACCAAAGUAAUGAUUAAUAGGGACAGUUGGGGGUAUUCGUAUUCCGUUGUCAGAGGUGAAAUUCUUGGAUUUGCGGAAGACGAACUACUGCGAAAGCAUUUACCAAUGAUGUUUUCAUUAA